UACGUAGGGUGCAAGCGUUGUCCGGAAUUAUUGGGCGUAAAGAGCUCGUAGGCGGUUUGUUGCGUCGGCUGUGAAAUCCCGAGGCUCAACCUCGGGACUGCAGUCGAUACGAGCAAACUAGAGUGUUGCAGGGGAGACUGGAAUUCCUGGUGUAGCGGUGAAAUGCGCAGAUAUCAGGAAGAACACCCGUGGCUAAGGCGGCUCUCUAGUACGGUACUGACGCUGAGACGCGAAAGCGUGGGGAGCGAACAGG
rnacentral:rRNA from 1 species